rnacentral:rRNA from 1 species
AUCUACGGUCAUGCUACCCUAAACAAGCCCGAUCCUGUCUGAUCUCGGAAGCUAAGCAGAGUUGGGCCUGGUUAAUAUUUGGAUGGGAGAUCACCUAGGAAGACCAGGUGCUGUAGGAG